GCGGAGGAAAAGAAACCAACAGGGAUUGCCCUAGUAACGGCGAGUGAAGCGGCAACAGCUCAAAUUUGAAAUCUGGUCCUUUCAGGGCCCGAGUUGUAAUUUGCAGAGGAUGCUUCGGGUACGGGUGCCUACUGAGUUCCCUGGAACGGGACGCCAUAGAGGGUGAGAGCCCCGUCUAGUAGGAUACCCAGCCCAUGUGAAGCUCCCUCGACGAGUCGAGUAGUUUGGGAAUGCUGCUCUAAUGGGAGGUAUACUCCUUCCAAGGCUAAAUACCGGCUGGAGACCGAUAGCGCACAAGUAGAGUGAUCGAAAGAUGAAAAGCACUUUGAAAAGAGAGUCAAAUAGCACGUGAAAUUGUUGAAAGGGAAGCGCUCGCUACCAGACUUGAGUUAGGCGGUUCAACCGGGGCCACGCCCCGGGGCACUCCACCUGCUCAGGCCAGCAUCAGCUUUCCGUCGGGGGCAAAGGCGUCGGGAAUGUGGCUCUCCUCCGGGAGAGUGUUAUAGCCCGGCGUGUCAUACCCUUCGGGGGGCUGAGGUACGCGCUUCUGCAAGGAUGCUGGCGUAAUGGUAGCUAGUGACCCGUCUUGAAACACGGACCAAGGAGUCAACCUUAUGUGCGAGUGCCCGGGCGUAAAACCCCAGCGCGGAAUGAAAGUGAACGUAGGUGAGAGCUUCGGCGCAUCACCGACCGAUCCUGAUGUCCUCGGACGGAUUUGAGUGAGAGCAUAUAGGGUUGGACCCGAAAGAAGAUGAACUAUGCGUGUGUAGGGUGAAUCCAGAGGAAACUCUGGUGGAGGCUCGCAGCGGUUCUGACGUGCAAAUCGA
rnacentral:misc_RNA from 1 species